rnacentral:rRNA from 1 species
AUGGGGGAAACCCUGAUGCAGCAACGCCGCGUGAGGUAUGAAGGCCUUUGGUUGUAAGCCUCUGUCCUAGGGGAAGAAAAAAAUGACGGUACCCGAGGAGGAAGCCCCGGCUAACUACGUGCCAGCAGCCGCGGUAAUACGUAGGGGGCAAGCGUUAUCCGGAAUUAUUGGGCGUAAAGAGUGCGUAGGUGGUCUACUAAGCGCGAGGUGAAAGGCAAUGGCUCAACCAUUGUUAGCCUUGCGAACUGGCAGACUUGAGUGCAAGAGAGGAAAGCGGAAUUCCUAGUGUAGCGGUGAAAUGCGCAGAUAUUAGGAGGAACACCGGCGGCGAAGGCGGCUUUCUGGAUUGUAACUGACACUGAGGCACGAAAGCGUGGGUAGCAAACAGGAUUAGAUACCCUGGUAGUCCACGCCGUAAACGAUGAGCACUAGGUGUCGGGACAUGAGUCUCGGUGCCGCAGUUAACGCAAUAAGUGCUCCCGCCCUGGGGAGUACGCACGCAAGUGUAAACUCAAAGGAAUUGACGGGGACCGCACA